AUGAAUUACAGUCCAAGCAGGUUAGGCAAGGCAAGGCAAUUUUAAUCUUUAUAGCCCGUUUUUACAAACAGUUUGUCUCAAAGAACUUUACAUAGCAUGAGCAUCCUAACAACAUCCUCUUCCCUUAAACCCUCACAUCCAAUGCGUAAAAACUCAGAGGAAAACCCUUUUAACAGGGGAAAAAUUGCAGUUCGUGCAGAGGGAUGGAGCUGUGGAGAAUAUGGGGAAACACAGAGAGACUGCGAGACGCCAUGGCCAAACUACAAGUUGCGAAAGCUCCCCCAUCUGGCGGGGCUCAAGGCCACAACAAGAGGACUCACUCACUACAGGAACGUGGCGUGGGACGGGCCUGCAUUUAUCUAAUAGAUCAAGUUUGGUUUCUGCUGAAAAUACAUUUCUCAUCAGUGCUAGCCGUUUGUCGACGUGUUGUAAUGUCUGCCUUCAACUUCACAGCUAAGAAGGACACCUGUGUUUUGCUAGUCACUGUUAGUAGUGAAUAUGGGAAGUGAAUGAUUCGUGUUAACCGAUGGCCUGGUUAGAAGUGUGGCAGUUUUGCAUUGAUUAAAGUUAGAUUGGGCUAGUUUUCAUAUAUUUUAUAUGUGGUCUUGUACAUUCGUUUGUAAAGCAUUAGUUGUACACGUUUCUUUUGAAACCGAAUGUUCAAUAUGCUGUUAAUACUAGUUAUCUUAGCUUUUAGUUAUAAAAGUAUUUGCAUGAUCUGAGGGAAAUUCUCUCUCUGACUGUGGCCUUAUACCUAUGUGGAAUCUCUGGAUCUUGUUUAAACGUUAACAAAGGUAAAGUGGUGAUAUUUGGUUUCAUCAAAGAUUGUACUAAUGUCACCAGUGACAUCCAUUGUCUCACUGGAGUUUUAAUUAGGCUAGUGGUUACUUGUUAAAUAGGAAGUUUGAUAUUUGUUUCCAAAUUGCUGUAAUCACAUGUUUGGUCUUUUUAUUUUUUUCCCAACCUUCACCAGAAAAAGAGUGCUUCAGAACUCAAGAUCUAUGUCAAGCAAUUU
rnacentral:lncRNA from 1 species